UACGUAGGGGGCGAGCGUUGUCCGGAUUUAUUGGGCGUAAAGAGCGUGUAGGCGGCCAGGUAGGUCUGCUGUGAAAACUCGAGGCUCAACCUCGAGACGUCGGCGGAAACCAUCUGGCUAGAGUCCGGAAGAGGAGAGUGGAAUCCUGGUGUAGCGGUGAAAUGCGCAGAUAUCAGGAAGAACACCCGUGGCGAAAGCGGCUCUCUGGAACGGUACUGACGCUGAGACGCGAAAGCGUGGGGAGCGAACAGG
rnacentral:rRNA from 1 species